UAGGGAAUCUUCGGCAAUGGACGAAAGUCUGACCGAGCAACGCCGCGUGAGUGAAGAAGGUUUUCGGAUCGUAAAACUCUGUUGGUAGAGAAGAACGUUGGUGAGAGUGGAAAGCUCAUCAAGUGACGGUAACUACCCAGAAAGGGACGGCUAACUAAGUGCCAG
rnacentral:rRNA from 1 species